rnacentral:lncRNA from 1 species
CACUACUAACUCUAUAACAAAUAACUAAUUUUAUACAGUCAUGAAAUGUUUACAAUAAAUCUGUUGAGUAUUCCAGAACAUGAACUCUCGUUAACCCGGGUUAUGCAAGAAAUCCCCCAAAAUGUGGUUAAUUUUACUCUCUAGGCCAGAUUUCUAGCUGCAUAUAUGUGAAGUAAAGGAAACUAUUAUACAUGUGAUAGAUCUAGAGUUAACCAAAACCCGGUCUACCAGGUAUAAACUGGUGCUGUUCAAGAGAGUAAUAAUGGAGUGCCUAGCACUCUGGUGCACAAGAA